rnacentral:rRNA from 1 species
AGCGAACGCUGGCGGCAGGCCUAACACAUGCAAGUCGAGCGCCCCGCAAGGGGAGCGGCAGACGGGAGAGUAACACGUGGGAACGUACCCUUCAGUCCGGAACAACCAAGGGAAACUUUGGCUAAUACCGAAUACGUCCGUAAGGAGAAAGAUUUAUCGCUGAAGGAUCGGCCCGCGUCUGAUUAGCUAGUUGGUGGGGUAACGGCCCACCAAGGCGACGAUCAGUAGCUGGUCUGAGAGGAUGAUCAGCCUCACUGGGACUGAGACACGGCCCAGACUCCUACGGGAGGAAGCAGUGGGGAAUAUUGGACAAUGGGCGCAAGCCUGAUCCGGCCAUGCCGCGUGGAUGAUGAAGGCCCUAGGGUUGUAAAGUCCUUUCGGCGGGGAAGAUAAUGACGGUACCCGCAGAAGAAGCCCCGGCUAACUUCGUGCCAGCCGCCGCCGUAA